CGGACUAGAAUUUGUCAAUGGAAGAUGCUAGAUCUUGUUCUGUUGGCUUUGCGGAGGAUUUACCUGUGGAAUCCAAGUGCUUGCACAACUCUGCUGAGAAGUUCCAGAGCUGACCUUCAGCAUCACUCCUGAGCGACUGCUCGAGCUGCGCACCCUGAAACCUCCCCUGGCUUCAGGUAAGACUGGAUUAUCGCAUGAUGCCUUGCAUUAGAAUUGGAGCUAUAAAGGAUGCUGCUGCCUGCACGCUGAGCCCUGUGUGCUGAGAUGCCUGAGGAUAUGAUGUGCCUGAUGUGCCAACCCUUCUGAGCUCCUCUUGCACGUCGCCUUCCCUCUGCUGUCCCCAGCCCCGGCAGGAGCCCAGGAAACCCCUCGUGGUGUGAGCAUCAGCAAUGCCACGGCACCGUCUUCAGGCUCCGGGACCGGCUCUGCUGUCACCCAUCUCUUCAGAGUGUGCUUAAGGCACCCAAACUGCUGGUACCAAGGCGAGCACAGCUCUACCUCACCCGGAAUUUUACUCUCAGCCCCAUUAUUGGUGUUCCGACACGUGUUGGCUGGACAGUUGCUGUAGGACAGAUCAAGCAGUUCUUGUCUGAAAAUCUGGAGUCCAGUGUAACCAAGUGGAAAGUGAAGAUAUUUGGUGACGUAGAAAUAUUUUUAACAGGGAAAUGCAGC
rnacentral:lncRNA from 1 species